rnacentral:rRNA from 1 species
GACGAACGCUGGCGGCGUGCUUAACACAUGCCAGUCGAACGGAAAGGCCCUGCUUUUGUGGGGUGCUCGAGUGGCGAACGGGUGAGUAACACGUGAGUAACCUGCCCUUGACUUUGGGAUAACUUCAGGAAACUGGGGCUAAUACCGGAUAGGAGCUCCUGCUGCAUGGUGGGGGUUGGAAAGUUUCGGCGGUUGGGGAUGGACUCGCGGCUUAUCAGCUUGUUGGUGGGGUAGUGGCUUACCAAGGCUUUGACGGGUAGCCGGCCUGAGAGGGUGACCGGCGAACUUGGGACUGAGAUACGGCCCAGACUCGUACGGGAGGCAGCAGUGGGGAAUAUUGCACAAUGGGCGGAAGCCUGAUGCAGCAACGCCGCGUGCGGGAUGACGGCCUUCGGGUUGUAAACCGCUUUCGCCUGUGACGAAGCGUGAGUGACGGUAAUGGGUAAAGAAGCACCGGCUAACUACGUG